GGGUCGGUGUCCGAGUGGUUAAAGGAGGCGGAUUGUAAAUCCGCUACGGUAACGUUACGUUGGUUCGAAUCCAACUCGGCCCA
rnacentral:tRNA from 1 species